rnacentral:misc_RNA from 1 species
CCAAUAGCGUAUAUUAAAGUUGUUGCAGUUAAAAAGCUCGUAGUUGAAUUUCGGGAUCAAUAUGUUGGUCGUGCCUCGGUACGUACUAGCUUAUUGGUUUCUCCUUUCUGAAGAACCAUGAUGUCAUUUAUUUGGUGUCGUGGGGAAUCAGGACUGUUACUUUGAAAAAAUUAGAGUGUUUAAAGCAGGCUCACGCUUGAAUACAUUAGCAUGGAAUAAUGAAAUAGGACGUUUGAUUCUAUUUUGUUGGUUUCUAGGAUCGACGUAAUGAUUAAUAGGGAUAGUUGGGGGCAUUAGUAUUCAAUUGUCAGAGGUGAAAUUCUUGGAUUUAUUGAAGACUAACUACUGCGAAAGCAUUUGCCAAGGAUGUUUUCAUUAAUCAAGAACGAAAGUUAGGGGAUCGAAGACGAUCAGAUACCGUCGUAGUCUUAACCAUAAACUAUGCCGACUAGGGAUCGGAUGAUGUUAAUUUUUUAAUGACUCAUUCGGCGCCUUACA